UAUAUGAAUAAUGGGUUCAAGAAAGGGUAGCUUUGGGGUCAACUAUGAUUACUCUUUUAAGGUUCUGUUGAUUGGGGAUUAUGCAGUGGGAAAGAGCUUUCUUUUGCUCAGUUUCAUCUCCAACUGCCAGCAGUUUCCUCAUGAGCUUUCUCCUACCAUUGGGACAGAUUGUUUUGAAGUUUCCAGCAAAUGGUUGAAGGUUGUUGAAGCUGGGUGUGUUAGUUUCUGUAUGGAUUGAUGGCCACAAACUUGAUCAUUUAAGGAGUGGAUUUCAAGAUAAAACUGCUAACCACUGCUGGAAAAAGGCUAAAACUUACAAUUUGGGAUACAGGUAUAGCUUCCUAGCUUCUCCUUAUUAACGAAGUCUAACCUGUUUUUAAAAACCUUAUUGUUAUAGAAAUGAUGAUUUUGAAGAAUUUGGAUUGGAAUUAGUACAAUCAGAAGAAGAAGAUCGCCAGGGUUAAGUAGAAAUUUUCAAGUAAAAGUUGUCACUUUUAUGUAAUAAGGGUUGCUUCUCUUUGAUCAAAAUAAUGAGGAUGAAUAACAA